AACAGGCUUCUGCUCGAUCUGAGCAUUGGCAAGGACAACACGUCCUCUCACUGUGCUCCCCUCCCCCUUGCUGAGCACGUGGGGUAGGGGAAAGACAAAGUCUGCGCCUCCCAUGGUGACAAGCGAUCCUGCCGCGCUACGCGUCACGAUUGCCGCACCGAGGCAUGCGCCAGCGUCGUUAAAGGCUGUGCUUCUGCGGACCUUGUCCGCAGCUACGCGACUGAUGUCGACGACUUGGCCACUCAAGCAUCCGUUUCUCAUUCCAUAGAGAAGGCUUGCGUAGGCGGCCAUCGUUUCAUCCUUCAGGCUGAUUCUCCACACCGACACGCCGACUUGCUCCACAUGCUCCUGGCCAACCGCUCCUAUGCGUCACACCAUUUCACCCAUUCGCUGCCCAACCUGGAGCUUCUCAGCGUUGGCUACUAGACGUCCAUCAAGCUUGCCGCCUGAGAGUUUGCUUCAUUCAGUCACACGCUCCUGCCACUGCAGCGUGCGAAACUGAAGUGGUGACACCGUUCUUGCCAACUGCCGGUUGCUUACGUGUGCCGAUGUCUCGCGCCGUUUGAGUCCUUGCCGACUUUACCUCAGCGAAGGAGACAAUGCGACUCACAGCACCCGCCGUCGGGAACAGUGACCUCGCGAACUUUGACACGGUGGGGUCGUGUCAUCUGCUGCUGCGCGUAGACGUCGAACUCGGUGUACGUCUGCGCCGUCUGGUGCCACUGUCUGUGGCACCGAACCUUCCAUAGCCCGUCCCCGAGGACCGUGGGGCGACAGCCUUUGGGACGCCCCCUACACCUGUUCCCCGUCGGCGUGCGUGAAUUUUGCUUGUUGCGAACACACUGCAACUCUUACACAGCUGAGGGCUGCUUCCCAAGCUGCACGAGAUACCUGCACUGUGCCGCCGCCUCUUCUACUUGGUGAACUUGACCGAGUAUCCGCUGUUAUGCGCCGACUAUUUCACCUACUUUCAUGCGCUGACCAUCCUUACCCUACUCACUGGCUCGCCAUUUCUACAG
rnacentral:misc_RNA from 1 species